UACGGGGGGGGCUAGCGUUGUUCGGAAUUACUGGGCGUAAAGCGCGCGUAGGCGGAUCUGCAAGUCGGGGGUGAAAUCCCGAGGCUCAACCUCGGAACUGCCUCCGAUACUGCGGGUCUCGAGUCCGGGAGAGGUGAGUGGAAUUCCUAGUGUAGAGGUGAAAUUCGUAGAUAUUAGGAAGAACACCAGUGGCGAAGGCGGCUCACUGGCCCGGUACUGACGCUGAGGCGCGAAAGCGUGGGGAGCAAACAGG
rnacentral:rRNA from 1 species